UUAAUUUUAAUAAUGAUGUGUUUGAUGUUUUAUGUAAAGCACUUUGAAUUGCACUGCUUCUGAAAAGCUAUCCAAAUAAAAUUGCCUUGCCUUUCCUUGCAUGAAUAU